AGUUUUCUCUUGAAUGUUCCACUUAUUCAACAAUUAUAUUCCAUAUGUGUGUUUGUGCGCACAGGUGCAACCCAACAGGCCCCAAACUGACUUGGCAGCAACUAAAAAUGAUAUAUAAAUGUAGUUCAAACAGCCAACAGAAAAAAGGCAGAGGCACGCAAAACAGGUGGCGGUCCACCACCACCACCUCUCACAGAGGCUGAAGAGAUGGCAUCUCUGGGGGGAGCUCAUCGGACCCAGCCACGCCCCAGGACACAGGGGCCUACAUAAGAGUUACUGAUGAUGGUGUAAUCUGUCUCGUGGAGCCUUCUGCCAUAACACGCCUCCAUGCAGUUAGCAAUGCCGGAAGUUACAAUGAGGAAGAAGGUCCAUCAACCUCCACAGCACAGCUUACCUCAGUAAGAUGUUGUUCAGCGUUGACCCACAACUUACAAUGACACUAAGUAGACAUGGCACUGUGAAAUUCAACGUCAUUUAUGUUCCUAUAGCUCCCUGUGAAACAACUUUACAAAGUAUAUUUAGAAUCCCAAAUAAACAAAUCACACCUAGAAAUGGAGCACAUAAGGCUGCAGAUCACCAAAACAGAAAAGGAAAUACAACUGCUGGACCAUCAGUUAAAGG